UUUCCAGACUCCUACGGGAGGCAGCAGUGGGGAAUAUUGGGCAAUGGGCGCAAGCCUGACCCAGCAAUGCCGCGUGAAGGAAGAAGGCCUUCGGGUUGUAAACUUCUUUUAUCAGGGACGAAGGAUGUGACGGUACCUGAUGAAUAAGCUCCGGCUAACUACGUGCCAGCAGCCGCGGUAAUACGUAGGGAGCAAGCGUUAUCCGGAUUUACUGGGUGUAAAGGGCGUGCAGCCGGAGAGACAAGUCAGAUGUGAAAUCCACGGGCUCAACCCGUGAACUGCAUUUGAAACUGUUUCCCUUGAGUGUCGGAGAGGUAAUCGGAAUUCCUUGUGUAGCGGUGAAAUGCGUAGAUAUAAGGAAGAACACCAGUGGCGAAGGCGGAUUACUGGACGAUAACUGACGGUGAGGCGCGAAAGCGUGGGGAGCAAACAGGAUUAGAUACCCCCGUAA
rnacentral:rRNA from 1 species